rnacentral:lncRNA from 1 species
GUUCAUCUCUAUUGCUACUGUUGUAGAACACGGGUCCAAUUUGGCUUCCAUUUACAGCAUAGUAUGAGAUUUGGCUACUGUACCACUUGGCUUGUUUUCCCAAACAUGGAAAUAGCAAAUGUCGAUCAAGGAAGUGGCAAUCCAGGCGCGAAACUUCUAAGAAUUGAGCUCAAACGUAAACACGCACAUGUAUGUUGUGCAUGUUCUCACCGAGAAAAAUCAAGACACGAGUGUAUUGAUUUACGGAUGUGUGUACGUAGAAUACAAAAAUAUGUCCUGGGACAACAGAGACGUUGGCUCGACCAGUUUAAAAAUAAGGAUUUCUUAUAGGCUGCUACUAGUGAUGACGGUGACCUAGAAGUCAACGUGAAAAUAGCCAUAAGUCCAAUGUCGAUUUGAGAUAUAUUACAUCAGCACUGCAAGCUGUUUUGGUUGUUAUCGAAGAAUAGAUUUUGAUUUGAA